rnacentral:lncRNA from 1 species
UCAAACUUAUCUUAGUAAUCCUCCACGGACCCUUCUUGUCUCAUUUUCAUAAAUUCUUCAACAACAUCUUCUAAUCCUUUCUCUCCAAACCUUCUACAUAGACCAACCUCAAAUUCUUCCCAAGACUGAUUACUUCUUCCUCUACCCAGUUAUGGUACCAAGAAUCGGCCUUCCCCAUCAAAUAAAGGCUUGCUAUGCUUACCUUUUUUUUAUUUGGCACCUCAUAAACUUCAAAGUAUUUGCUGCAUUUCCUAAGCCAACCCCUUGGGUCACCCCCUUCAAAAGUAAUCAACUCAAUCUUUGGCAGCAUCCUUUCAAGUUUCAAAUUCUCCACAGAAGUGGAGCUGCUGGCACCUCCAU